UACGUAAGUGGCGAGCGUUAUCCGGAAUUACUGGGCGUAAAGCGUGCGUAGGCGGUUUAGUGUGUGGGAAUUGAAAGCCCGGGGCUCAACUCCGGAUCCGGUUCCCAAACUGCUAGACUCGAGCGUAUCAGAGGAGAGCGGAAUUCCCGGUGUAGCGGUAAUAUGCGUAGAUAUCGGGAGGAACACCUGUGGCGAAGGCGGCCCCCUGGUCGGAUACUGACGCUGAGACGCGAAAGCGUGGGGAGCAAACAGG
rnacentral:rRNA from 1 species